UCAUUCAGGGUCUGGGGAAAUACUGCCUGCUCGGCAUAAUGCUGGCUGGCUGUUCGCCUCCAAACUAUACUUGCCUUGACUUUACUUCUGCCUUUACUAUACUGAGGUAACUUCUUUCUGGUCCUAUCUCCUUCAGGACUUUUAUCAUGAAGCCAUCUGAACUUUGUCAAAUGCCUGUCCCUUAUUCACUGAGAAGAUCAUGUGGUUUCUGUCUUGAAGUCUAUUCAUCUGAUGUGUAACACUUGUUUGUUCGUGAAUGCUGAACUAACCUUGUAUCCCUGGGAUGGAACCAAGUUUGUUGUGAUGUAUGAUAUUAAUGUCCUCUUGAAUUUGGUUUGCAAAUGAGGUGGCAGGACAGCCACCUCCCCCAAACUGAAGACAACAAUAUAUGGAAACAGAGCCCCAGUGUGCUGUAAAGAGCCUUCUGCAGUUCAGUGCCAAGUGGGAGACCUGAGCUGAGAGACAGUUAUCUGCAGAAACACAGCUACAGAGUUCUGCACUUACCUGGAGCUGGCUGAGAAGGCUACCUAGUAAAUCCCAGGAAUGCCACGUCUUGCUGUCACACCUGGGUUCUGGGACUCUGACGAGGUCCUCAUGCUUGCAUAGUGAGCACUGCUGACUGAGACAUCUUCCCGCCCUCCAUUACUUCUACUGUGCUGUCUACUUUGGCCAUUAGGGACUUUGCCGUAUCAUUGAAUAUUAUUUUAAAUUUCAGUUCUGAUACUUCCAUCAUCCCUCCCGUGCCCAAUUCUGUCAUGAAUGUUUUUCAGUCUCUUCCACCGUUUUUGUCUUGUGAAGGCCUUACACACUUGUUGUGGUCCAGGCAUGGUGACCUGAGGGAGAAGAACUCGGGAUAGGCCUGUGGUAACAAGACGUGGGGCAGGGGAGUGUUCUCUGAGCCUCCAGGCACAUCUUAGUUCCCUAAGACCGGGCUUCUGCACACGUGAGUGGAGAGGUUGAGCUGGGCAGAGGCAAGCGAACAAGCGAGCGAGUGGUCAUUUCCUGCUCUCUGCUCUGGCCAGCCUGUUGGAGGCAGAGAACCCGGUGAUGCAUCUGGUUAUACAC